GUGCCAGCAGCGGCGGUAAUACGUAGGGUGCGAGCGUUGUCCGGAAUUAUUGGGCGUAAAGAGCUCGUAGGCGGCUUGUCGCGUCGGAUGUGAAAGCCCGGGGCUUAACUCCGGGUCUGCAUUCGAUACGGGCAGGCUAGAGUUCGGUAGGGGAGAUCGGAAUUCCUGGUGUAGCGGUGAAAUGCGCAGAUAUCAGGAGGAACACCGGUGGCGAAGGCGGAUCUCUGGGCCGAUACUGACGCUGAGGAGCGAAAGCGUGGGAGCGAACAGGAUUAGAUACCCUGGUAGUCCACGCCGUAAACGUUGGGAACUAGGUGUGGCGACGAUUCCGACGUCGUCCGUGCCGC
rnacentral:rRNA from 1 species